GCGGCCGUGGCGAAAUGGCAUACGCGAGGGCCUUAGAAGCCCUUGGGCGAAAGCCCGUGUGGGUUCGAGUCCCACCGGCCGCACCG
rnacentral:tRNA from 1 species